CGGCGGGCUGGGCUCGGAGACCAGGUGCCAGACCCGGGGAGUCUAGCGGCUCUUGGCAGAGCCGGGAGCUACUCUAGCUCUGCCUCCUUAACUUCUUGACGUUGCUGAGGAGGAAGGAGAGAUGACCAAUUCCCAGGAACCUGUUACAUUCAAGGAUGUGGCCAUGGACUUCACCGAGGAGGAGUGGGGGCAAUUGGAUCCCACACAAAGGGCCCUGUACAAAGAGGUGAUGCUGGAGAUCUAUGGCAACCUGGUCUUAGUGGGAAAGAAACUUUAUGACUGUGCCGAGUGUGGCAAGAGCUUCAGUCGGAGCACAGAUCUUCGCUACCAUCAGAGAAUUCACACUGGAGAGAAACCUUUUGUGUGUGAUACUUGUGGCAAAGGCUUCAGUUAUAACACAAAUCUUCGCGUGCAUCAGAGGGUCCACACAGGAGAGAAACCUUUUAAGUGCAAGGAGUGCGGCAAGGGCUUUAAUCAGAGCUCCAACCUUCGCAUCCACCAGAGAGUCCACACUGGAGAGAAACCUUUCAUGUGUGGUACAUGUGGCAAGGGCUUUAGUUAUAACACCAAUCUUCGCGUGCAUCAGAGAGUCCACACAGGAGAGAAACCUUUUAAGUGUGAAGAGUGUGGCAAGGGCUUCCAUCAGAGCUCCAACCUUCGCAUUCAUUGGAGAGUCCACACUAGAGCGAAACUGUACAAAUGUGAAAAGUGUUGUAAGAGAUUCAGUGAGAACACAGACCUCCAAGUGCAUAAGAGAGUCCACACAAGAGAAACCACUUAAAUGUGAAACCCUUAAACCACAAGCUUCCAUGCCCAUCAGAAAGUCCACACAGGAGAGAAACCUUUAGGUGUGAGGAGUGUGGUAAGGAUUUCGAUCACAGUGAAUCUUCACAUUCUCCAGAGAAUGAAACUACAGAUGUGGAGUUUGCAAGCAGUCCCUAAUGCUUCCCAGUCCCUACUGACAACAGUGUUAAUUCUCCUAAUUACAAAAUGAUAUAUGCCUAUUGUAAAAUAUGAAAAUAUUAUGAAGCAAAAGUAAGUGUAACUGAUUUAUUAUGGAGUGUCAACUCAGCGGGGUAUAUAAGAUUAUGAAAUUCCCCCCCACCCCCCAGCUCUGCCUUCAUCCAUGUUCUGUUGAAUCCCCAUGAAUGAAUGUAUGAGUGAGUGAGUACUGAGUGGGUGAGAGAGACACUGAGGGAGGGCUGUAGGAAAGAGGAAGGUUUUCCCUCAUCAGUUCCCUGAGGAAGCAUACAAACUGGGUAAGAGAUUACAACUGGUGAAAAUACUGAUAUCUGCAAUCCAUAUCACAGACAAAGAGAUUCAUCUGCCUAUUUAUCAAGAGCUCUUAGAAAUCAAAAAGAAAAAGCACACAAAAAAAGAUGUGAAGAGACUAUUCAGAUAUAAUACAAACGCCCUUAAAUAUUUGCAAGAGUGACAAACUUUUCUCAUAAUAUGAGAAAUGCACAUCAAAACCAUGCUGAGAUACCAUUUCCCACCUAUGGGAUUAGCAAAAAAUUGAAAAGUUUAAAAAACAUUUUUUUUCUUUGUUUGCCCAAGUGGCAUGUGGGAUCGUAGUUCCCUGACUAGGCAUAGAAUCUGCGCCCCCUGCAUUGGGAGCACAGAGUCUUAACCACUGGACUGCCAGGGAAGUCCCUAAAAAACCUAUUGUUAAUGAGGCUAUAGAGAAGUAGGCAUUCUCAUACCUUGCCUUGGGGGUUGGAAAAUAGAACAACUCCUGUGGAGAAUAAUUUGACAAUAUCUACCAAAACUGUAGAUAACAUUUGCCUUUUAAUCCAGAUAUUCUAUUUCUGAGACUCUAAACUACAGAUACACUUGCAUAUGUGUUUUGCAAAUACUUGGCAUUGUUUCCAGUAGUAAAAAGUAGAAAACAACAUAAAUGUCCACCAGCAGAGAACUGGUUUAAUAAACUGUCCACAGAGUGGAAUGGUAUGUAGCUAUAAUAAAAAGUAAGGAAAAUUUCUUUAUUAAAAUAUAAAUAUCUCCAAGAUAUAUUAUUAAAUGAAAAAUGCAAGGUGAAGAACAAUGUGUGUAUGUGCAUGUGUAUAUAAAUAUAUUUUUUAUAAAAAUAUAUAAUGAGUUUUAUGUAAGAAGGAGAAUGAGAAUAUAUAUCUGCAUUUGCUUCUAUUUGCAUAAUGUCACACGGAAAGGAUAAACAAGGGACUAGUAAAAUAAUUGGGGGAACGGGGGUGAGAAUGAAGCUUAUCUGUACUUUUUUUCUUUUUGUAUUUUUAAUGUAGUUUUGAUUUGAACAUUCUACCUAUUUUUAAGAUAACACUGAAUGACGCCCAAUGUCUUUUUGGCAUUUAUUGAUAGUAUAAUAUUGGU